GUAGCAACUGGAGACUACUCCUUUAUUUUUGUUUGAAUCCAUUAUUUAUUUAUAAUUUGCUUUUUUACUCCUACUUUCUUUCAGGUAGCGGUAUUGAUCGAGAUUGAAGACCUGCUUUUGAUAUUUUUUGAGUGAUGUAUUUGUUGAGUGAUAAGACUAUAUUUAUAGGCCUUUAUCAAUAAUUUUAUUCUAUAUUUAAUCUCCUUAUGUAACUUAUUUAAUGUAACCACAGAAAAUCGGGACGUUUAUAAAACUUGGGGAACCAAAUUAGCUAUAACAUUAACAUUUUUUCUUAUAUUCGAGAAGUUUUCUUUAAAAUUUACGUUGCUCGGUUACUCUGGGGCUACAAUCCGAGCGAGAAAAUCUCAAGUACCUUCCCCGGAUUUGGAACGUCGCCGGUGUUACUGUAUUUUCCGGGACAAAAAGUAUAUAUGGCGCAGAAUUUCACUUAUUCUGCAAUAUGAGUUUCCUUCUGACACAUAGGAACAAGUUGUAAAUUAGUACUCCAGUUCAUGAGACCAAAGACAAUUUGGUUCUUUAAAUAAAAAUCUGGGGACGGGUAACACGGGAGGCGUGGGAAAAAUUUGACCUAAGCACCAGCUCAUUACGGUGUUAAUGUUAGAAACUGGCUGAACGAGCGAAUCCGGGAUGGAUGGAUUGGAAGAGGUGGUCCUAUUCCGUGGCCACCCCCUUCCCUGGAUUUCAAUCCAUUGGAUUACAUUUUUGGGGUCGUAUAAGAGAUAUAGCAUAUAUGCAACAGAAGUCGACAGCGAGGAGGUGUUGCGCAAAAGAAUACCUUUGGCAGGAAAUCAAAUUCGACAAAAUAAUUUCGAAAUUUCACGUCCCUCACAUGCAAUUAGCCGUAUGCCUUCGUGAGCAAGGAAAUCUUUUUGAGCACCUUCUUUAAAAUGUCAAGUUUAUAAUUUUUAUUACAAUAAUUAGCUUUACAGUUGAUAGUUUGGUUUGACUUUUGUUAAUAAAAUUAUUAAUAAGAACAAUCCAAGUAGAAACUGUUUUUUACCAACAAUGAACAAAAUUGAAAGCUGUCGAAUAAUAGACAUUUAAUUUUUAUUUACCCAGCAACACAA